AAGCAUUGGAACUGGAAUCCGGUGGAAUCGAAUCCAGAGGAAUAAAAUCGUUGUGGAAGUGGGCGGAUUCGGUGGAUCCUCGUAACAGAUAAAUGCACGGAGAAAGGAAGAUAAGCGUGGAGUACUUUUGGAAUGCAAAGCGGUCUGUCGGAGAUUUGAAUAACUGUUGCAAAACUAACUGGCCACGCACAAUAUCCAUCGCGCAGACCCAACAAAGGAUACACUUUUACCUGGCGCACGAAAGAAAGUCUGGACACGCGAAAGGAAGCGUUUCGGGUGUCUGUAAGUAAAUGAACGAAUCAGAGAUUAUUCCGUUGUUUCUUGCUUUCGGAUAUUUUUCGUUCUCGAAUAAAAUAACGAAUAAUCUACCGUGUAUGUUUUAUAUACGUAUUUAAGUCGUAAACCAUAAGUCGAGAUGAUCGCACAACGUUCGUCAUACCCUUAAGGGCAAGUAACAACGUUUCUUCGCGUUUUUACUUUAUUUCGUCGCAGUCGAUUUCAUUUUUCUCGAACGUUGUAAGCGAAAGCCGAUCUUUCGAUCGUUCGUUACCAACGAGGCAUCGUUUCAAUGGUAACGCGUCGAAAGAAGAAUAGCUUUGCUGUUUGAACGUUGCAGGUGCUGAUCGAAUACGAAGUAACACACGACAAGAAUGCAAUGAAUUUAAUAAUUCGAACGAGCCAUGGACAGCGUUACGAGAGAAGAAUUUCUAAUUAAUUGGCACGUGCACACCGGCUACUACGUUUAUUAUUUAAAAUUUAAUCGAAACGAAAACAAUUCUAGAAGAAAAACGCUAUUACGUCGUAUUACUUAAUCCUCUUUUAUUUAACUCGAGAUCGUUAAUUAAAAAAGACGUAUUACGCGAAACUGACCUACUUGAUCUUGACGUGAAAUAAAAUUGCUUUAAACAAAAAAUUUGUCCACCGAAUUAUGUGCAAAAAAAAAAAA
rnacentral:lncRNA from 1 species